rnacentral:lncRNA from 1 species
UAGCCUACUCCUAAUACAGUUUAGACUAGACUUCUAAUACAGUUAGACUUCUAACAUUAUUGAAUACUGGCACUUGCGUUCAUGGACUCAUUUGUGGUGCACGUAGUUCCUAGACCUUUUCUCUAGAUUUUCUUUUUACUAUCUUAUUCAUGCUGGAAUUCCUCCGACAUCAGUGUUCAACCUCUGAACAUGCAAAUGCAAACUUUGCUGAUGGGUGACAGAAGUGUCC